rnacentral:snRNA from 1 species
AUAUUAGUAGGUCUCUAAUGCUU